AGCAGGUGGGAGCGGGGCUGUUGAUAUCAAUAUGGCGGUUGUCAGCCAGACAAAGACAGUCAGUCUGAUGUGAUUGAGACAAGGGAGGUUUUUCAGGGGGAGACUGGGAGAUAGGGGCCUCCCCUCCCCCUUCUCCUCUUCCUGCGCCGGCCUCAACCCCUCCCCAGUCCCCUCCCGACGGGCGCCCCACGCGGAAGACACCCCUCCCCCUCCCGCUUUCCCUCCUCCCUACCUCAGCCCUUCGUACUGGGACGUUGGGGAGGGGGCUCUGCCGGGCGGAGAGAACUCAGCGAGGAUUCUGAGAAUGGUAGAUAACGCAGAUCAUCUCUGGAAAGGAUAUUGAUCCACCUCAUGUAAAGUAUGCUCAGUUCCUUUCCAGUGGUUUUGCUGGAAACCAUGUCUCAUUAUACAGAUGAACCCAGAUUUACCAUAGAGCAGAUAGAUCUGCUUCAGCGACUUCGGCGUACUGGAAUGACUAAACAUGAAAUUCUCCAUGCCUUGGAAACUUUGGACCGUCUUGAUCAAGAGCAUAGUGACAAGUUUGGAAGAAGGUCCAGCUAUGGAGGAAGUUCAUAUGGGAAUAGUACCAACAAUGUCCCAGCAUCUUCCUCUACAGCUACAGCUUCCACACAGACGCAGCAUUCGGGAAUGUCCCCAUCACCUAGCAACAGUUAUGAUACUUCCCCGCAGCCUUGCACUACCAAUCAAAAUGGGAGGGAGAAUAAUGAGCGAUUAUCUACAUCCAAUGGAAAGAUGUCACCAACUCGCUACCAUGCAAACAGCAUGGGUCAGAGGUCAUACAGUUUUGAAGCCUCAGAAGAGGACCUAGAUGUAGAUGAUAAAGUGGAAGAAUUAAUGAGGAGGGACAGCAGUGUGAUAAAAGAGGAAAUCAAAGCCUUUCUUGCCAAUCGGAGGAUUUCCCAAGCAGUUGUUGCACAGGUAACAGGUAUCAGUCAGAGCCGGAUCUCUCAUUGGCUGUUGCAGCAGGGAUCAGAUCUGAGUGAACAGAAGAAAAGAGCAUUUUACCGAUGGUAUCAACUUGAGAAGACAAACCCUGGCGCUACACUAAGUAUGAGACCAGCCCCCAUUCCAAUAGAGGACCCUGAAUGGAGACAAACACCUCCCCCAGUCUCUGCCACAUCUGGUACUUUCCGACUACGACGAGGGAGUCGAUUUACUUGGAGAAAGGAGUGCCUGGCUGUUAUGGAAAGUUACUUCAAUGAGAAUCAAUACCCAGAUGAAGCAAAGAGGGAAGAAAUUGCAAAUGCUUGCAAUGCAGUUAUACAGAAGCCAGGCAAAAAACUGUCAGAUCUGGAAAGAGUUACCUCCCUGAAAGUAUAUAAUUGGUUUGCUAACAGAAGGAAGGAGAUCAAGAGGAGAGCCAAUAUUGAAGCAGCAAUCCUGGAGAGUCAUGGAAUAGAUGUGCAGAGUCCAGGAGGCCACUCGAACAGUGAUGACGUCGACGGGAAUGACUACUCUGAGCAGGAUACUUGGCAAGUACGCAAUGGGGAGGAGGAGGAGGGAAGAAGUUCAGAGGGAGGCAGAGAAGCAGAGAAGGUAGAAGAAGAGAGGAGGAUCUGAUCCAAACAAGCAAGUUACACCAUUCACAACACACACUCAGUGUUUGAGAAAUACUAGGGGCAGCUGGACCCCAUGCCUAAACAUGUACCGAUGCAGGGCACGAUGGAAGGCCCCACUCACUCUGGCCCCACUGCAGUGGGAACCCUCCUGCCCAAAGGAGUGGUUCUUCCAGAGUCUCUGGCACACUGACACAUGCAUCCUCUCAUAAGUGCAAUACCUGCAUGACUCGUCACCUCGCCCUGAUUUAUUCUGCAUUGCUUUUGGGGAAAAUGUAUUUAAUUGUAGCCACUGCAUGGAGUAAUUCAGUAACUAAGACCGUGGGAGUUCCUCCUUGACCCCACAUAAAUGUUGACAGAUUUCAUUAAAAUUUUGAUAGGAUGUAAAUUUCCAUUUGGAAUAUGCAGAGAACGCAUGGUGCCUUCCCCUAGACCACAGCAAGAAAACUUCUCAUUUUUCUGGGGUCUGUCUGUGCUUUUUCCUUGCCCCCCAGCCAGCUCAUAUAGUCCAGUGUGUUCUUUAACAGCCUCUGUUUACCACACGCCUAGAAUGCAUGCAAGUCUGUGCUGAUCCCUUUGUAAAUUCUAAAAACUAAUCUGUGAACAUCAGAAGGAAACAAUGAUGUCCACACUUCCAAAGAACUACCAUUUUUUUCCCUUUAGGACUCUACUUCAUAGCCCCAAGAGAAUAUUCUGUAAGUCUUUCUGUUCGUAUACAUUCCUGUUAUUUUUCAGUCUACCCACAAAGAUGGAUCAUUUCCAUCUUUUUUUACAGAUGCCCUAAGGGCAGCACAUCCCAUGUUUUGUUUGUUUUUUUCCUUAAGGGACUUACCCUUUCCAAAGCUCUUUGACACAGAAUUCCCCUGAAGAUGACAGGUGAGAAACGUACCCCUUAUUUGUAACACCGUCUUCAGUGCCUGACGUACAUCCUGCAAUGCCAGCUUCCUUCACAGCUUUAUUGUUUAACACAUUGAGCUGCGCGGGGAGGACAGCCUCACACUUGUUCUAGGAUGACAGUACGAGCCAUAGUGACCACCAAGACCCCAUCUCAUUAGCUGUGGAAAUGGCAGCAGUCAACCACACUAUCUUGGCAUUGGCCCGACAAGGAGCCAACGAAAUCAAGACAGAGGCCCUGGAUGAUGACUGAUCAGGGAGGUUAAACACGACAAGUUAACUUAGUUUAGACGUAGCACCUUAGCAGACUUUCCUCGGUCCUUAACAUGUGUUCUUACAGUAUAACUUGCAGUUUCUUGUAUGUCAGGUAGCCGUUAGGGUCUUGUUCUGUGAAGAUGGCAUGGUGCCCUCAGCCUUUGCAUAUACUCUCUCAGUAUUAAUUCCCAGUAAAUAAUAACCAACCAACCAACCAAACUUCCCUCUCCCAGCCCGUGAGGCUAGAAAAUCUUGCUGCUCCGUCUUAGCAUUCCAAGAAAGUGCUUCCAGGUAUUUAGAUAGCCCUCAGUUCUGAAAUAUUAGGCUAUGUGUAAAAUCUUGGGUACCUUUAGAUUCUUGUAACACUAGUCUGUACCCCCUUUUCCUUCCCCAAGACUGAUAGGAUGCAAGCUGAGGUCGUGGCACAGGAAUGACAGACACCAUUUGGGGAGUAUCCACAGAGUCAAAGGAACACUAGAAUCCCCACCUCAGUGUGAGGAUAAUUGAUUUCCAGCUGCAAUAAGCCGUGCCUCAUUAUAGCCACACUGUGGCUAGAUUAUACUUCUUUGGGUGCUGUGCUAAGAAUGUCAAUGGAAAAAGUCGAUCUCAGAUUUUGUUUGAAGUUAACAUGCCUGACACAGACAUCCUUUCCUCUCACAAGCUGUGUGACUUAGUAGAUAAAAUACUGCCUUCUGCCUUUGGGACCAUGAUUAAAAACAAAGACAAAAACCAAACGUCAUAAAAAAAAAAAAAAAAAGGCCCAGCUUGAGAGCAUUGGAAAAAAACAUGAGCUGAAUGUCUAAUGGAUGCUAAGUCCAGUUUUCAGAACCACUGUACAUUCCGCGGCACAGUUAGCAGUGCCUGCCUGGAAAAGUUUUGGAGGUCAUCGUGGAAGUUGCUUUGCCUCCUGUCAGUGUCCCCUUUCCCUGCUACCAAAAAAGUCUUUCAAGGAUGGAGCUAAGGUCAAAAAUGAGUGAAAAAACUUGCAGUGUUUGUAUCCAUUAAACGGAAGCCCCCUCAAUCUGAGAGGUCGCUAGAGGACUUCAUAGUGGGGUUGUGCUGCCUGUCACAGACGCAGACACUUGCCCAGACAGGAGCAGAGAAAAGCAGGGGAUGUUUCCUACUCACAUUGUGGCUGUACGAGAACACGAUGGGACUGCUUUGCUGUUCUCUUUACUCUGUCCUUGGAGAGGUGUGAAAAGCUGUAUUGCUACAGGCAAUUUAUUUAAUAAUUGGAAGCCAUAUUGAUAAUGGAUGUGGUAAUAUUUGUAAAGUUUAAUCUACUUUAAGCGGCAGUAACUAAUGGAAUUUUUUUCCUUGAUCACAUAUGUAGCACUUUUGUUACUUUUUAAAGAUAUUUAUAUUUGAUAAAUCUUUUUUUCAUUUUGAGAACUCAAAAUACCAAACAGUGAACUUGCGUUAUAAAGUCACCCUGUGAUCACUUUGUCAUCUAGUAGCAAAAUGAUGAACUAUUCAUGCAUCAAAGAAAAUUACAUCUGCUGGCCUUGUAUGAAAAUGAUCUCUUGGCAUCCCGAUUAAAUGACACACUGUCACUGUGGGUAAGAGGAAAGAGCCUUCAAUGUAGCAGCACAGGGUGCGUCUGAAAGAGGCACAACUGCUGUGGUUUCUGCCUUGCUCCAUCUCUCCUGUGUAUAAUGAAGCCUUGUUUAAAGGGGCAUGUGGGGCUGGCUGUUAAGCAGGGCUUCUUUUUGUCCAUUACCUGAAAACAAUUUCUAAGAUAAAAGGUAGGUGCCGUUUCCUUACCUCUUCACCCAUCCUCCUCCACCAAAUGUAUUCAAUGGCCUUCCUCAAUUUUCUUUCUCAUUCAGGAGAUACUGAAUAUCCACCAGUUUCCAGCUGGUCUCCUUCCACUUAAGGCACACGCUGACUGCGUCAUUUCCUUAUCUGUUAAUCCUGCUUAUGUGAGUGUGAGGAAAGUCUUUGAGAGGGCAUGAAAGUGCCACCUUAUAUAUGUCUGUGACUUUAAAGAGCUAUAUGCAGGGCCUGGUCCUGCUGUUGUCCAUGGAUUUCAGGGGGAAAAAAUAUAUGUACUUUUUUCAGCUUCCAAGCUUUGAAGUAAAGUGGAGCCGUCUCUUCUGUUUUACUGUAUUACUUGAACCAACAAAUUCAAGAGUAGCAUUUGUUAUUCUCAGGAAUGAGCCUCCCCCCCGCGGCCAACUCGUAUUCUUUCUUGGUUUAUCUGACUUUUUAUUUCAAUUAGGAGAUUGUGUUCUCUUGCUUUCCUUUUAUUUUGCUUAAAGGAAAUGUAACAUAUUUCCAUUUUUGUGGAAUUUUGACUGCUUAUUCCCAGUUGAAUCAAAAUACAAGGAGACAGAGAAAUAUCCACUCUGACAAGCCACAUUCAUGAUUGAUUGUAAGGAGAUUAUUAAUAAUUGAUAGCUUCUUUAUCAUGGGAUUGCUAGUAUCAUUUGUACUUGCUAGUCUUUUUAAAGGAACAGACUCAAACUGUUAAGACAGCUGCAGUUUCUAAAGAACUACAAAGAUUGUCAUAGAUGUACUCAAAGGUUUCAUUGUUUUAACACCUUUACGGGAGGAAAAAAGCUUCAGAGAAUAAAGGCAAGUUCGCAUCCAUGAAGGGCAGUACCAGACCCUAUAUGGCAAUGUGGUGAAACUGAAAGAAUAUUUCUGCCACUGCAGGAGAAUGUCCUGGAGAGCUCAGUGGGAGCAGGAGGAAGGCAUCUUCCACCCACAGCUGUUCUUGUCAUUGGAGAAGACCGCUGGCUGCUCAGAAGACCCACUGCCUUACAUGUCACUUUUGCUUUUUCACCAAGAGUGAGAAUUUACUUCCUCUGGGCCUAGAUUUAAACCUGUUAGUUUUCUGUUUGUCACUAAGUUCAAUUCUGCCAUCUUGUCCAGGCCACCUUGGUUCUUAUAAUGGUGUGUGGCACUGCUACUGUUAUAUUUCUAGUGUCUUUAGGUAGUAUAUUUCUCUCCUAAGCUUUUUCAGGUUUUAGUGGCGGAAUUAAACUAGAAACCCUAAACUUCCUUAUUACUGAAGGGAAAGCAGCCAGGCUCUAAAAACUCACACUGUGUGCUUCUUGGUUGUUCUGCUCCCCCCGCCCCGCCCCCCGCCCGACCCGGGUUGUACUUCACUCUCUCCUUCAGGCCCCAGGAGACUCCUGCAGGGGCUGUUCGUGUCGAGGCAGACUUUCAAAAGUCUUUUGAAGUGGGAUGUGGGGGAACUUGCCAACAGGUAUUCAUAUAAUUUAUUUCUUUAAAGACACUUUAAUUGAAUUACUAUGGUCAGAUGGGUAAACUUUCCAAACUUUAAAAACACUGACACAGGGACCUUUUAAAAUGGGCCAUCUUGAUGAGAUCUCUGCCCAUCUGUUGAUAACCCUAACAGCAGAUGAAGGCUGGGAGGGCAACACACUGCAUUCUUAUCUGAGCCCUUCAGUGCUAUUCAGUCCCAAAUAGAUGUUUUGAUUUGUUUCAGCAAAGCCGGUAAUGUUGGAGUGCCCUUACAGCAAUUUUCUUCACAAUCAAAAUCACAGUUCUUUAAGUGGUUAAUAAAUGUAGUUGCCUUCCACCCACCUAUGACUCUGGACAGUCCCCAUCCCUGUCACUCACAAGGGCAGUCCUCCCCCCCCACCCCCAUAUUCACAUUCCCAUGGCCCAUCACAGGAAGAAGGAACCUGAGGCAGAGAGGAAGAAAAUCAUUAAUGCAGAAGUGUGCACAUCCAGUUCUCUAGUUCUUGGUAGAUUGAUGGUGGCAGCCCGUUCAGUGAUCACCACCUAUGUUAGGUCCGUGUAUCCAGAUAUAUUUUACCUCAAAGGAGAUGACUGAAGAAUUGACCAAUAUAGUUAUUUCCUUUCUGCCUGUUUAACGUUUGUCUUUAAGAAAUGUUGACUUUAGAAACUUCUCCCUUGGAUAUCAACCAUCAGGCACCAAGUAUAAACAGACUCAUUGAAUCAGGAGUCUCCAGCCUCAUCCUGUCUGUGAAUAGCUCCUCUUCUGUUUCCCUCUGACAAGGCCUUAAGCUGACUUCUUUGCUGGAAUUUUCUAAUCUUGUGACAGCAGGGAAAAGUAGCUGGAUGUGGUCCAUCUCUUAACACAAACACUCCUCCCUGUCUUGACCAGCUACAUAUUCCACUGAACAGCCUCAUCAUCUUUGCCCUCAACAGUGGAAAUGAUCCCUUUCCCACAGAUGUUCUCCCACCCACCCUCCCUCCCUUCCUCUUCCUAAAAAUGUGAAGUCUUAAGUCUUUACUCUCUGGUCUUCAGAGGGUUUGGUUAGAAGCAGUCUUCUCAUUUAAUAUGUGGCUCUGCCUUUUAAAAUUGUUUUUUGUCUUUUGUUGUUCAGGGAACAACCAGAGUAUUUUCUCCCCAGUGUGUCCCAACAGAUUCUUAGGCAGUAAUUUUUCUUGUUGAUGAUCCUGUGCUCAAUAGCAAACUACAUUGAAGAACCCUGGCCCUCACCAUUGUGCGUUGGUUUCUGUGUUAAUCUCUGUGAUCUGAAUCAUGUCAGAGAGAUGAUAGAUUUUAUCAUUUUAUUGUGAUUAUUAGUAAUGUUUUACUACUGUAUUCAUUGGGGCUGCAUUGAGACCAGCCAAAUCCAUUUAUAGCUUUACUGAGCCGGAUUGAUUAGUCAAGAUUUCCCAAGUGAAAGUUGGGCACAUUGCCCAGCUCCUGCUGGUGGUAUCUUUGGGGAGUGUGGGAUGGGGUGGGGGGAUGUCCUGGGGCAGGGGUGGGAAUGACACAUAUAAGGCAUUCCUUUUGUUUUUUUUUUUUUUGCUUGUGCUCAUUACAUAGCAAGGGUGUUUACUCGGGAUUUGGGGAUCAGUUGUCAGCCAUGUUGAAUUUGGCAAACUGAGCUGCGUGCCCUGAAAGCCCUCUUUUUAUUUCUUCGUUUCCAUAUUGUCUGACUUACUUCGCCUAGGAAUACCUAAGUUAUCCAGUCCAGUGUUCCCUGAUGAGAGUGGAAUAUUUUCCUGGAAAGGCAGCUGUCCAUGCCAGGUCAUCUGUCAGGAUGUUAUGGUGGUGUGCGGUCAGAGCAGAGGGCCUUUCUUUUCCUGUAAUGUGCUCUACUUCCUUAAGCAUGCUUGGUUUCAAAGAUGACCACCACUUUAAAAGAAAGAUUUCCUUACAGCUCUCCAGAGAACUAUCAUACUAAGGUGAUAGGAAAGGCUUCUCAGAUACAAGCCAACAUUCUGUUUUCUGAUUACAGAAACUCCUCUCACAUACAGGUUGUGUUUGGAAAGGCUGUCCCUCAAUUCCACCUAUAAACUGAAAGUGAUAAGCUACUGUCUUGUGAUCUUGCAGAGCCAAUAGUUGAGUCACUCAUCUCUGAAAGGUAACUUUGUUCAUAUCUAUGUAUUUUCAAACCUGGAAGUUCGUAAAUUGAAAGUUUCAGUAUUAGCUGUAUUAUUCUUUCUUGAUGAGGAAUAGAAAUGGCAGCAAAAAGCAAGCCAGCAAUCUGAAAACUCCAGUCUCCUCUAACACUGGCUUUGUUUUAAAUCAAGACGGGAAGAGAUACAUGAGGGGAGGGAGGGAAGAUUUGCUGGCUGCCCAUUCUUAUCUCAGUGACAUAGAUGCCUCGGGAUUACAGGCAUGCGGAGCACUGAACCUCUUUGUUGUCGUUCUUCCUAUGACAUUUGUGGCAGAACUUUCUAGGUGAUUCUGUUCACAUGAAAUGUGACAAGCAUUUUUACACCAUGAGACAGUUUACUACCCACAUGCCACACCCAUUGUCUGUCUCAUCAGCCAGCCCCAUAACCGCAUCCAGAGGGAUGCAGCUGAAGGGGAGCCGUGCCUUUCUCCUAUCCUGACACUCCUUUCACGUGGCAGGUUUGCAGGUUGGUCGGCCCCAGUCUGGACAGCUGUGUCCGUGCCUGCUCAGCUGCCCUCCAGUUGGUUGGUGCAGCCGGCGUGGGCAUGCACAACCCGGCUCCCACUUGAGAAGUCUUGGGAUGCCGGCUCCCUCGACUCCAUUUUCAUUUUCUCUUCUUUUAAGUAAGAGUGGCUCUGUAUAGCCAUAAUUAACUCUCAAAUUCACAUUGGUGUGCUGUGAUCAAAUGAAGGUUGGACUGAAUCUUUUCAAAUUGUAACCAUGGUAAUUGAGGGGGGUGGCAUAGAAUGAAUAUAUAAAAAUAUAAUGGCAAUUGUUCUGAAUGACUGAGUGUCCUCCUGACAUGUAAUUAGCUGUUUUAGCAGGAUGUAGAUUGGCAUGGUCAUAAUUAAAAGAAUUUCUGUCCUUUAUGUGAUUGGAAAUGGCAGCACUCCCAUCCCCUGUUCCCUCUUAGCACUAAUGCUCCCAAGAACAUUUGGAACAGCAGCUCUGUAAACUAAAAUAAUGACAUGGUGCUUCUGUUCUCCCCUAAGUGAAACAGCAGAAUUUGGAGUUGUUUCAGCUUCAAAAUGGAAGCCUUUGAUUAUUGUUCCCCAUUUGACUUCUAAGUUCUUUGAAACUUCAUUCAACAUCCAGUUCCAGCUUGCUCCACCUCUGGCAGAAACCACAGUCGGGACCCCAGAAGGAGCCCCUCUGACCAGCCUCUAGUGCGUUCCAGCCCAUGGUCUGGCCAGCUCAGGGCCCUUGCUUGCCUAACUCGAGGACACUGCUGCUUGCUGGGCUCUCUGGGAUCUUCAGAUUUCCCUUGGUUGCUUGAUAUUUCCAUUGAUGUCACUAUCAGAAAGCAUUUCCCAAACAGAAGUUUACAGAAAAUUGAAUCAAGGUUUCCUCAUUGAAUCCUAAGACUCAGACAACAUGACAGGACACACAUAACUAACACAGGCUUUAAACACGUGGGGGCAUGAAUGGAGUACUAUUCAUGACAUUCUAAAGCUACUGGAGCAUGGGACACAUGUGUCUGUGCGCUCCUCUCACACCCCUCGGCAGGUGCCCCCUCCCACCGGCGCUGUUGCCCUGAGUCUUCCCCACUGUUCCGCUGUGCCAGUGUGAGCAUCUCCCUGGCACUCAAGUUCAUGUUCUCUCCCUCCCACUCUUCCUCCUGUCUCUUCCGUGCUCCCUGUCGCACGGGACAUCAUGUGGGCUUGAUGCCAUACAUAGUCCCUGACCAUGGUCCCCUACUUUUCUCCGGAAGUGUCACACUGGACAGGAGCUGCUGAGUCACCAACUCACCUUUCCCUAGAAUGUGGCUUUGUUUUUUUUCCCCCAUCACUUGCAGAGGUCUUUAUUCAAUUAUAUGAUCAAGAAUGAGUCUACAAGGAUACCAGCACCAGACAUAGUGCCAAAUGGCCUUUUGCAAGCUGUUCCAUGCCCAAGAGGCUCACACUUGUGCUGGGUGAGCCUGGGACCAUGAGCCUUUUCUUUUCCAGGUCUGGACACUCCAGGGUUGGUUUGGCUAGCCACUGGGGAGAGUACAACUCUGGCCUUUUUUCAUAUUUUGCUGCUUCUCUUUGUACAGAUCUUUCCCCCUCCAUAUACCAAAAGGAAUCCUAACCUAGUUGAAAUGCUAGUUGCAAAUCAGUUUCAUGAGAAUGCUGUAGUAGGCUACUGAUUUAAAAUUUUCCUCUUCCCUGAAAAUACACACACCUAGAGAAUUUAGGGAAAGGCUCUUAGGCCUUGGGAAUCUUAUCUUUUCAUUCCCCGCAAAAUACCUACAAAAAAAUGUGUAGUAUUCCUUCAGUAUUCCUCCUCUUAUAGGCCCUGAAAGCAACCUCAUUCCCACCCAGUCCUUGCACACCUACAUUCAAGAUCCAUGCAUGCAGUUGUUGAAACUGUUUUCUUUGGGAUCCUAUCUUUAUGACAAUUGGAAUGAUUACAGAUUUAUGACCCCAAAGAAUAGAGCAUUCCUUUUCCUAUUUUCCCAGCUGCUAAAAGAUGACUAUCUCCAUUAGAAUUUAGAAUCCAUCUUAAGAUUAGAGAUGGUAAGAACUGACUGGAUGGGUCUAAUUCUAUGAUUUGUGAGACAUGCAUUAAAAUCAUCAGCAGAACAUUCUGAUGAUCCACCUACACUCAAAACACCACCACAGUUAAAACCUUCUAAUGGAGCCCCUGUCUUAGGGAUCAAGGUAUUAGAGGUGCUGCCUCAGGGAUGGUGCUACUUCAAAAGAACCGAAGUUGGAGAGACACCUCCCUUCCCAAAUGCUUCUGCAGGCCACUCUGGUGCUUCAGAAAACCCCAACCAUAUAUUCCUUUAUCAGCAGCCCCCACCCCUUUCCAUCACAACUCAGCUUACCAAAAUCAGUGAAAAUCGAGGCAGUGCUUACCCAUGAAAUAUGUGGGUUUUGUUCUUGUAGGAAACUAAAGAUGCCACCACUGUAAAUCAUAGUAUGACAGAGACAAACGCACAGGUCUCCCAAGCACCCCAAAGUCAAUACAGCCCAUGUUUUCUGAGCACGUACUGUGUGCGGGGCGUCGUGCUGGACAUGUGUGCUGCCUCAUGACCCAACACCAAGCAAGUCCCCUCGCCCACGUCAAGGCAAGUCUCCCCUCGUUUCUUUCAUUUUAGUAGGACAUUCAUCUUCAAACAACAGACCGCAUAGGACAGUCUGCCCUCUGAACACUAACCUGGUUUGUUUUCUCACGCAGCAGUGCCAGGUACCCCCCAGGCGCGCUGUGGCAUCGCCCCCACCUCUGUGAGCUGAACUCCCUCCGUGAGGGUCUGGAUGCUACAGCCUCUCCAGAGUCUUCCUCCUUGGUCAGUGGUGAGGACAGGAGUGCAGGGAGGCGCCGCAGUGGUUGACAGGGUGGGAAGCCUGUGUGGCUGAGGGGAACUUGAACUCCAGCACCCCUUGCCUGCAGUUAGCAAAGGCAGAGACCAGGAAACCUUCUUGCGCUUCCCGUCUUCUCUCUUCAGCUCUUGUAGCACUUCCCUGGUCGUUCCUUCGGGGCUCCUGCUGUGUUCAGGAGCAUCUUGCCCAGCUGGCCCCUCCUUCUCUCUAGAACCCGAGGGUCUGGGGUUCUGGAAUUAGAUCAGUGUCUGCUCUGCCUCAGGCCUCCCUGGCUCCUCAUGGGUCCUGACUGCAAAGACAUACCUUGAUUUGGGCUCAGCGUAAGAACUUUCUAGAAGUCAGAAUCCAGCUGAAGCACGAGCUCCUUUGAGGUAGAGGUCUGGUUCCUGUCCUGUCACAUUUCACGUGGAACUGCGGUGACUGUUGUUAGGGACAUUGAACAAGGGACAUGGGUGCCAAGCUGACCUGAGGACUCGGCUAACUAAAGUUCCACGUUUCUUCCCUUCUCCACCUGUCUACCUCUUUUCCAUCAAACAUAAGUGGUCCUCUAGGGGUUGGCUCUCUCAUGGUCUCUCUCUUCUGAUCUGCUCUGCCCUGUUGUGGGCAUCUUGGAACCAUCUCAGAAGCAAAGCCACAGCUGUGGACUGGUCCUUGUGACAGUCUCCCUGGAUCCUAUGUACCUGUAAUAGGUACAUAGUUACGUUAUUAUCCAACCUCCAAUCCCCAAAAAGCCUCCUUAAUUUGAAAGAGAAAGGUGUAUGUGCCUUGCAUUUUGUUAUCGGUCCAGAUUUUGCAUCUGGUGGUGGCUGGGGUGCCAUUGGGAUUUUGGAAUGGGAGUAGUUUGAUUCCUCCCUAGGAAGGAACUCAUGGCUCUCACAAACCAGUGUCUGUGGCAGUGACAAGUCACAGAAUUUGUGUUUCAAGGUUUAUUCCUUCUUCCCUUUAGGACUUUUUCAACUUCCUGUCACUUCGGGCUAAGUCUAAAUUUCAGUCAUGUUUUGUGGCUUCCUUUGAGCACAGAAACCUCUCCUUUCCUUCCAUUACUGGAACUAAGAUCCCAGCAUAAACUCGUGAGAGUCACUUUUCCACCUCAUCAUUUGCUGGAGGUAUUAAGCUGGACACAGAAUGACAUCAGUGUCAUACUAAUGUGAGCAGCAGCCACUCUGGUGUGUUCCACUGAACUCUUGUUCUUAAACCAGAUUCACGGGGGGCAGGCACAGAGUUAGAAGAGUGGGCUGCGUGAAGACGUGUGUUCAGCGGUGGCUGCUUUCAGGCAGCAUUGUUGUAUGCCUUGAAAACCACAUUUCAUUAAGUUAGAAUCGGUGAUCCCCUUAAUACUGCAUCUCUGAAAACGGGCACCCUGAAACCAAAACCAAAGUUCUGGAGGUGGGGAGUGGAGCUUUUCUUUCAAAGCACUGGGAGCUUGGGCAGGGCGUCCCCUGACUGCUCCUCAGUUUUGUCGGAACACUCAGAAGGGCCUCCUCUUUUCCUAGUAGUUGCCUCAUGUUGACUCUAGAAAGCGUGUGCAGCCUGUGCCUCCCCGACCCAUGGCGGGCAUCUGGAUAGACCCUGGGAGCCUCCCCACCCCGGCCUCUUCUAGCCACUUCUCCAGGGGGCUGUAGAACACGGUCAUGGGAAGGCCUCUGCUGGGCCAAGUCCCUGGCCCCUAAGCCAUCACAGCACUGGUGUCGUCAGACACACCCUGGCUGCAAGGCAGGACACUCCCCUUGCCGAGAGACGCCAAGUGCGUCAUCAUUGCCUCCCCUGGAAGAGCCCACAGCCUUCUAUGACCUCCCCCCAGCCCGGGCUCACCCUGCCUUCCACGGCCAUGGUCACAUGGGGUAUGCAGUACCUUUCAAGGAUAAAUUUUUGUUUAUGUUUUUUAAGUGCCUAAGCAAGUUACAGACCUCUGGAACCUGCCAGAGAGUCGGCCUGUGCCCUGUCCCCAUCCCUCCCCACCCUGCACUGGCCCUUGAGGGUGGGCACAGGGCGGCUGCCCCUCUCCAGUGUCCCUGGCGUUCUGCAGGCAGAACAAGGCAGGGACAAACUAGCGGGGGAGAUCACUUCACAGCCACAGCAGGCUGGCUUCAUCACUGUUUUCCAGCGUUUGUUUCUUUAGGGCUGUUUCUGUUUAUGUGGUUUUGGUCUUGGUUCAUAGAGAAUUUAAGUCUGCUUAGGGAAAUCUCAGUAGCCACUAAGAAGACAGGAGAGCAAGACAGCCUCACAGCAGCAUUCCAGCUCUGGCUUUGGUAGGAGUUGGAAAUGUGUCCACAUCCAAGAGGGCAAAGCGUCGAAUCAUCCUAGCUCAUGAGCCUGACUCAGCUGCCAGCAUGAGCCACUGGAACCCCAGCUGCCUUUGCGAGCCCUCUCUUCCUAGACUAGGGGGAUCGGGAUGUCUGCUCACGAGGGCUUGGAAAACCAGCAGUCGGGCAUUCAGAUCCAAAGUGUGUCUUUGGAAAUGAGUGUGAGUGUAUUUGUUUCUUUUUUAAAAAAUAAUUUAAAUCUGAUCUAAAUAUGGGGCCUUUAUUCUGUGAUGGGUGUACGACAGAUUAUUUUGUGACUGCACUCUGUUCAAAUCACAUCACUAAGCAGCGCUCAGAUGAUUUGUUGGUGCAUUAAAAGGUUUUGCAAACCUUUGGAACAAUCCAUACCCAGGCACUUUAUUUUCAUUAAUAAUCCAGCAUUUUUGUUCAGACAAUGUAAUGACCCAAAACACUGGGUAUUCAUAUUUGACACAUGGGCAAACUUGCCAGUGGAAUUAUGACCUGAUAGAGAAGGGAAGGCAGGCUGACAAAGGUGAUCGAAUGGGGGAACAGUGCUGUGGUGAUCAUGAGAAUGAGGCUUUUCUGUAGCAUGUAAACCAAACCAGGCCCUUGGCAGUGCGUCAUCCCUCAGUUCUCCAGAUGCUAUUUUUGCAGGUUCUACCAAGUGCUUGUUGAUUACCCUAGUUGUAAUUGUCUAGGGAAGAGAUGAAUGUAAGUGAGAGUGCAGAGCACUGGGGAGGGCGACAGUGAAAUGCAAUUAGAGGCAGCAAGAGAGUCCUAGUCUGUUCUCAUGUAACCGGACUUGAAAGCUCCAGCGCGAGCAGAGUGCUGGGGGUGGAUUCCACUACCGAACCGCGGCACCUUUGCUUUACUCUUCAGCAUGGGGGUGGUAACUAGCUGCACAGCAAGUUAUGAAAUGGAAAGCAAGCUUAACGGCUGUAAUCUCGUCGGAUACCCCGGAGCAGAUGCCUUGGGAUUGCCUGAAGUGUUUCGCAUCCACCAAAUAAGUUGAGUUUCUAAGAUGGGCCAUGCGGGAUCCCUGCCACAUGGGCGUGGGGGCAGCGCGCUCCUCCCUGCCUCGGCUGCUGUGUGUCUUAGUCUUCGUGUUUCCCCUUGGCGUCUCCUCUAGUCCCUGUCCAUCUUGUACACCAUGUGUCCCUGAGGGUGAGUCACACCUGUGUCUGAGUCUGCUGUAAGGUGUUCAGUCUACCUCAAGGGGUCAUCAUGGUAAGCUCUGUCCCACGGCAUCCUCCGUCCAUCACCACACACACUGGAAUGUAUCUCCCCCGCCCUGCCCCUUCGAUAACCUCCUGACCCUGUCUUUCCUGUAAUCACCACAAACUCCUAGUGCAAAUUGGAUGCUGCUUUAAAUGUGAAAACAAUUGUUCAAAAGCUAUAAAACCUGAAUGAAAGCUGAAGCUGAAUUUAUAAGCCUUGUUGCGUAUGAGCCAAAAGUGCAAAAAGCUCUAUAUAAUGAACUAACCUGCCACUCGUAUAAAUAUAAAUAUAUAUAAAUAUAUUAAAAUCAGACUGUUCUACAAAAUUGUGUAUUUGUAUUUUUGUGUACGUACAAUUUUCUGCUAAGCAGAAGGAGGAUGUAGUAUAGGAUGCUGUGAGAAGAGAUUUGGUUUAAUCCUAUUUCUUUGUUACCUAUUUUUGUUAACAUCAGAUGCCUGUCUUUGUCUUAUAUGUGUAUGACACUGUUUGGAAAGCUGCAGUAUCUCUCUUCCUGAGGUCCAGAGGCCAUUAAAGAAUAAACAUGGGGCUUAGAGUUGUCUUGGCCACCAAACACAGACAGGUAAGCCAACAGAGUUCAGCUCCCCUACACGGUGUGCUGGGACCUGGGACCUGGAGCCACUCGUGGUCCUGAGGUGGGACUGAGGGAGGGAAAGGGCUCCCCCACUUCAGGCUGGUCACUGUAUUUUGACUUCCCUCUGGGAAGCAAAAUCCCACUCGUAAAAAUCAACUUCCAAGACAAAAGAUGAUCCGAUGUCACUUUUCUGGAUCCACCAGGAAAGGACACAGGAUGUCUCUGAACUUUGGAACAGCCCCUCAUAUUUUGGGGCCAGAAGUUUGCCCAGAAAGCAGCAGGUGGCUCUGCCUGGCUGUAGCCCGGCUCAUCGGCUGUCCCUGGGCUUCGUCUCCCUCUUCUGAGUAGUUGCUGCCUUUCUUCAGAUCAGGUUACCACAAUGCCUCCCCGCUGCUGAUGCUUCAUCCCCCACACCUCCAGCCCCAGUUACCUGGAGCUUCUCAGAACCCACUUUGCCGGUGCUAAAACACAAGAGGGGGUGAAAGUGGCUGCCAGUAAUGGCCAGAAACCAACCACCAGAGGCCAGGCUGAAAGACAAGCUCCGGGUGCCCAGGGGCUGACGGGCCAACCAUGUGGCAGGUCCCAGGCCCCACCCACUGCUGCCAUCCGCCUCUGAGCUCCACGGUGGUCCCUCUAAUGGGAACCUCCUCUAGGGAGAGCGAUACUGCACCUCCACCCGUAGGACUCAUAUUUAUAACAAUGUGUAAUGGCUGUAGCAAAAAGCCCUUGUUUCUAGAUGUAAAUGGUCAAAGAAACAAGCGCUCUAUUGUAUUGAAUAAAAUAGUUCAAAUGAGUCCUGUAUCAUUGUAUCUCCUAUUCUGGAUUAGUGCCUUUUGGACAGUAGACUGUUCUGUAAUUAAAAUGUAGUAUACUGCUUUUUUGUACAGUUUUGUUUUAAUAAAACUUUUUUUUAAUUUGUGUUUAUUUUAGUAUUGUACCUAUUAGAGAAUAAAAUGUAUAACUGAA